CCCUCCUCUCUCUCUCUCCUUCUCUUCCUCCCUGUCUUCCAGUGAAAGCUCGCCCGGCAGAGAGAGAGAGAGAGAGAGAGAGAGAGUCUGCAAAGCUGCGUACUUCACAGGAGGAAGACGAUGUGAGGGAAGAUGAAGAGAGGAGGAGGGUUGUGUUGCUGAACUGCGACAUCGGCUGAUGGGGCGCUGAACCGGCGGGCCGGCGCAGCUGAAGUCACAUGAUCAACAACCAGAUGCUACUACUGCUGGAAACAUCAAAGAAGACAACAGGAAGUGGUAGGAGGCUGAUGUUUUUAAUGACUUAUUGCCUGA